CAGCCACCCCAGUCAGCAUCCUGGACCCCAGGGAAGCCAGCCUCUAGCAAAAAAGUAAGAAACUGGAGGGUGGAUAUCAAUGUGUAGAAUGUGCAUGUGUGUCUGAGUGUGCCAGUAUGUCUGUCAGUGUAUUGUGUGUGUGUUAGUGUGUGCCAGUAUGUCUGUCAGUGUAUUGUGUGUGUGUUAGUGUGUGCCAGUAUCUCUGUCAGUGUAUGUGUUACUGUGUGUGUAUAGGAGUGUGUCUGUCAGUAUGUCUUUUAAUGUAUGUGUGUGUCAGUGUGUCUGAGUGUGUGUGUGUCUGUCAGUAUG